rnacentral:rRNA from 1 species
CCCUAUGGGGUGCAGCAGGCGCGAAAACUUCACACUGCGCGAAAGCGCGAUGAGGGAAUCCCAAGUGUUUGCACGUAAGUGUAAACUGUUUCUUUGUUUAAAACGCAUUGAGAGUAAGGGCUGGGUAAGACGGGUGCCAGCCGCCGCGGUAAUACCUGCAGCUCAAGUGGUGGCCGCUAUUAUUGGGCCUAAAACGUCCGUAGCCGGUUUAGUAAAUGCCUGGGUAAAUCGUGCCGCUCAACGGUACGAAUUCUGGGUAGACUGCUAAGCUUGAGACCGGGAGAGGCUAGAGGUACUCCUGGGGUAGAGGUGAAAUUCUGUAAUCCUAGGGGGACCACCAGUGGCGAAGGCGUCUAGCUAGAACGGGUCUGACGGUGAGGGACGAAGCCCUGGGGCGCAAACCGGAUUAGAUACCCGGGUAGUCCAGGGUGUAAACGCUGCUUGCUUGAUGUUGGUUGGGCUCCGAGCCCAAUCAGUGUCGGAGAGAAGUUGUUAAGCAAGCUGCCUGGGAAGUACGAUCGCAAGAUUGAAACUUAAAGGAAUUGGCGGGGGAGCACAGCAACGGGUGGAGCGUGCGGUUUAAUUGGAUUCAACGCCGGAAAACUCACCGGAGGCGACGGUUACAUGAAGGCCAGGCUGAUGACCUUGCCAGAUUUUCCGAGAGGAGGUGCAUGGCC